rnacentral:rRNA from 1 species
UGAGGAAUAUUGGUCAAUGGGGGCAACCCUGAACCAGCCAAGUCGCGUGAAGGAUGAAGGUCUUAUGGAUUGUAAACUUCUUUUAUACAGGAAUAAAUUGGGGGACGUGUCCCCUUUUGCAUGUACUGUAUGAAUAAGGAUCAGCUAACUCCGUGCCAGCAGCCGCGGUAAUACGGAGGAUCCGAGCGUUAUCCGGAUUUAUUGGGUUUAAAGGGUGCGCAGGCGGGAUGUUAAGUCGGCGGUGAAAUUUUGCAGCUCAACUGUAAAAGUGCCUUCGAUACUGGCCUCCUUGAGUGUGGAUGAAGUAGGCGGAAUUUGUGGUGUAGCGGUGAAAUGCUUAGAUAUCACGAGGAACUCCGAUUGCGCAGGCAGCUUACUAAGCCACAACUGACGCUCAUGCACGAAGGCGUGGGGAUCAAACA